rnacentral:RNase_P_RNA from 1 species
GGCCCGAAAGGGCGCACUGGAGGAAGGUCCGGACUGCACAGGGCGGCGUAGCAGCUAACGGCUGUCCGGCGUGAGCCGAGGAUCAGAGCAACAGAGACGAGCCGAUUCAGUUCGGGUGAAACGGGCAAUCUCUACGCGCAGCAACACCAAGUAGGCACACGUUGACCUGGCCCGGGGAGUGUGCGGGUAGGUGGCACCGAGCCGGGCGGCGACGCCCGGCCCAGAUGAAUGGCGGUCACACCGGUCAACCGCAAGGGACGCCGGUGCACAGAAUCCGGCCUAUCGGCUUGCUUCACAC